rnacentral:tRNA from 1 species
GGGGUUGUGGCUCAGCGGUAGAGCACUCACCUAGCAUGCGUGAGGCCCUGGGUUCGGUCCUCAGCACCACA